AGAAUCAACGCUGGCGGCGUGCCUAACACAUGCAAGUCGAACGAGAAAGGGUAGCAAUACCUGAGUAAAGUGGCGCACGGGUGAGUAACACGUGACUAACCUACCCUGGAGUGGGGGAUAACUGAGGGAAACCUUAGCUAAUACCGCAUAAUACCUACGGGUCAAAGGAGCAAUUCGCUUCAGGAGGGGGUCGCGGCCGAUUAGUUAGUUGGCGGGGUAAUGGCCCACCAAGACGAUGAUCGGUAUCCGGCCUGAGAGGGCGCACGGACACACUGGAACUGAAACACGGUCCAGACUCCUACGGGAGGCAGCAGUGGGGAAUUUUGCGCAAUGGGGGAAACCCUGACGCAGCAACGCCGCGUGGAGGAUGAAGUCCUUCGGGACGUAAACUCCUUUCGAUCGGGACGAUUAUGACGGUACCGGAAGAAGAAGCCCCGGCUAACUCUGCGCCAGCAGCCGC
rnacentral:rRNA from 1 species